rnacentral:tRNA from 1 species
UUAAUAGAAGCCAAAUUUAGAGGCGCAUCUUUGUUAAUGAUGUUAUUGGUUACACCCUAUUAAU